UACGGGGGGGGCAAGCGUUGUUCGGAAUUACUGGGCGUAAAGGGCUCGUAGGCGGCCAACUAAGUCAGACGUGAAAUCCCUCGGCUUAACCGGGGAACUGCGUCUGAUACUGGAUGGCUUGAGUUCGGGAGAGGGAUGUGGAAUUCCAGGUGUAGCGGUGAAAUGCGUAGAUAUCAGGAGGAACACCUGUGGUGUAGACGGCUUUCUGGACCAUAGCUGACGCUGAGACACGAAAGCGUGGGUAGCAAACAGG
rnacentral:rRNA from 1 species